CCCCUGUUCCCAUGGCGAACACAGAGGUUAAGCUUCUUAGCGCCGAUUGUAGUGAAGGGUUUCCCUUUGUGAGAGUAGGACGUCGCCACGC
rnacentral:rRNA from 1 species